rnacentral:rRNA from 1 species
UACGUAGGGGGCAAGCGUUGUCCGGAAUCAUUGGGCGUAAAGCGCGUGUAGGCGGUCCGGUAAGUCGGCUGUGAAAGUCCAGGGCUCAACCCUGGGAUGCCGGUCGAUACUGCCGGACUAGAGUUCGGAAGAGGCGAGUGGAAUUCCCGGUGUAGUGGUGAAAUGCGCAGAUAUCGGGAGGAACACCAAUGGCGAAGGCAGCUCGCUGGGACGUUACUGACGCUGAGACGCGAAAGCGUGGGGAGCAAACAGG